rnacentral:lncRNA from 10 species
AUGACUGCAAAGCUGGUGUAGUAAGAGAGGCAAGAAAUCCAGAGGGCGGCAGAGGUGGAAAGGAGUGGGCAGGUUGGAAGAUGGUGAGGAAGUAGCAUGGACAGGACUUGGUGUCCAGGUGGAUGUUGGGGGUAAAGGAGAAGGAGGGUUCAAGGAUCAUGCCUCGGCUGCUGGAACACCCUAUGAUCUCUUCCCUCUGCUGGCUUCUUGUUGCUUCUGACUGAACCCUUUCCACUUUUCUACCCAAAUAAUCGCUUGUUAUUCCAUACUCAGUUUGAGCAUCACUUCUCCCUGGAAAGCUUCUCUGACUGUCAGGAUUCCAGAGGAAAGGCAUGGCACAUUAUCACUGGGUAACUGACGAGCACUGUUAAAGGGACUAGUUAUAAAGGUGACAGCAGGGCUUAAGGAAACAAACGAUGGCACUGAACCUGAUGGCUAGUAGUCCUGUGACCAUCUGAGAGGCUGGAAAGCACCAGGGGAGAGAAGGUUACUAGGACACAGAGAAAGAGUCGGAGGAGAGGGCUGCUUGACCAGAGCUGUGUCCUUCAGUAGGGGAUACAGCCAGUCUACAAUGAUCCUGAAAGAAGGAAUUCCAGAGAAUGAACACUUCAGCCUUCUUUUCCUUCCUCUGGUUCAUCUUUGCUGUAGCUCCCCAUUGGCCAAAUCCAACUAGAAGCAGCAGGCACAGGAGCCCAUUGAGGCAGUCCCUGCAAUCAGCCCCCAGGGCACAAAGCAGCAUGGAGCGUGGGCCUGGAGAGGAAAGUGGGAGACGCCCACAACCCUUUCCCCGACCAACCCUAACCCCAGUCUAGAUCAGCAGCUUCUCCUGUUAGGGCCUCCUAUACCCUGUAAUUCUCGCUGUCAAGCAUUGCUCUAUCUGCCCCCCUCCACCUAGGCUGUGAGCUACUUGAGGGGGUUCUGCCACAUCUUAGCCAUCUUUGUAUCCUUGAUACCUAACACAGAGCUUGGCACUUGGUUAAGGCUCCAUAAAUGUUGAAUAAAAAUCCUCCUUUCAAAUGCAAAUUUCACAUAGAACGUAAACUUCUUAAUCUAUUGUCAGCUGGUGCCUCAGGGUGGUUUAUGGUAAGAAAGAACAAGUUUCUGCAUUAUAGGCUUGAAGUUAAAAGGCCCCCAGAGGACAUGUACUCACUGGUUUUAUUAUCUUUUUUUUAUUGAUCAGUGUGUCAUCAGUCAACAAGUAUGCAGCAGCUUUCUGUACAAGGAACCGGAAUUCCUACCAGAAAUUAACACGUGCUAGGGAGUCAUUUUCCUUUUGUAACAAAAGUAAUGCAAAGUAAUUGAAAGCAAUGACAUUAUUUCAUCCAAAUAGUAUAGGAUGGAUCAAGUAGAAAAAUGUGUUGGGAAAUUAAAUUUACUAGGUAAACACAGCCACAGAGAGCUCACAGCUGUUUACAGCUCAGUUGUAUUUAUGGGAUGACAUAGCCUAGCCAUCAGGCAUACUCGGGAUGACUGGGCUGUACAUUCUGGCAGUCUGUCCCAUCUGUUCCAGCUUCUUCAUUUUCACAGCCAUCCCAGGCCACCUCCUCUUUCAACCUGCCCUACACUGAGGAAGUGAGGAAGAUUGUUCUGGCAGCAAUUUUCAUCACAUCAUAUUAUUCUCCAGCCUUAUGUUCAAACUCUUUUGACAAGUAGCUCCCACUUCACUCUUAGUAAUCUAACAUGUCCCCUUGUAAUUGCUUCUCAAUCAUGCAUCUAUAGCUCCUCUCAUUGCUUAAUAUUAAAGGGAAUACAUCUGUCUUCACAUUGCUUUGAAUUCUCACCAUUCCCAUACCUAGUAGGCACUGAAGGGGGAUUUCUGAUUAAUAAUCCACUUAGAUAUACCUACCCCAUACAUGUCACCAUGGUAACUCUACACCUUGCUAAAAGUUGAUGGCAUAGUGUGUAAUGACUUGGCUUCUUCCCCAUUCAGCCACUAAUCCUGUAGAUGGAUUAUUUUGUUCCUACCCCCACAAAGCCUGGAGAGCUCUGUAGCCCAUGAAAAAAUCAGAAGAGUUGCCAGCCUGCUACCUGAUUCCUCUCUGCCUCCAAACACAAUGCAAAACAAGCUCCAGUUUCCAUGCUGAACAUAAAUAGAGAUUGUUCUUCAACUUCAGAAAUGUCCUUAGCCGAAAAUGUACAAGCCUAGCAGUUACAGGAAUUUUCUCUCUCCAUCUUACAGGGCAAUGGCUGAGGUCUUGGGAACUCUUUCAGGAAGCCCACUAGGGAGUGAACCUUCAUUUGUCCUGAUUGCCCUGUGUUACAGAGGGAGGGAAUGUCCCCCCAACCAGUAGCUAGAAACCAGGGCCAAACCCAUGAAAACUCAUGGAUUCAUUCCAUGCCUCCUUCUCUGAUAUCCUACUGCCAGGCACAGCCACCGUUUUGCACAAAUCUGGGUGAAUGGUGCCCCUGAGGCUGGAAACUAUGGUGGGCCUGGUGCUGAGCUUCAUCUUGAGCCUAGUGAAGAUGAUGCUACGCUUCUUGAGAGGCGCUCGGCCAUUUACCCUGUGCUGUGUCCCAGGAAGCCGACUGGUAUGGGCUGCAUUGAGUCUUUUGCCCUCCAACUUCCUAUUGGAUAAUGGGGACCUGUGACAAGAGGUUGGACAAUGAGAAGGAGGAGAGUGACCAGUGAACCUGCCUCCCUGCCAGUUUGCUGUGGGUUUGUUACUAGCAGCUGUUGCCCACCAGACAGUCCUCUCAGAGUUCAGGCAAACACUCUGAUGACCCUGGUGUUACUAGCCCCAGAGUAUUGCCCUAUCCCCUGUUGCCCUCAUCUUUCUAAAUGAUUCCUUUACUAAACUCCUUUGACUCAGUUUGAGUGUGCCAUAAUCUCUUUUUUGCAGUAACUCUGACCAUACAGUGGUAAAUAAGAUAAAGCCUUGGCCUCCUUGGAGCUUAGGUUAGUGUGGAACAAAGAAAGACAACAAAUGUGUUUGCAAAUACAAUCUAUGUAAUUUCAGAUAGUGACAAAAGCUUUAAAAAAAGAAAGUACACCAGGGUAAUGGAAUGGCUGGAGAGGGUCUAGGGAGGAGAGCUACUUUUCUUCAAGUAGCCAGGAAAGGCCUUUCUGAAGAGGUGACAUCUGACCUGGCACGAUGACAGUGAGAAUGAGACAGCCACACCAGCAUGUAGAGAACAAUCUAGAGGGGGGAACACUGAUGCAAACAGCCCCCAACAGGAAACAACUGGAACAGAAUGGAACCUACUGGACAAGGGGAGAGUGGCAGGAGCUGAGGUCAGGAAGGAAGGGCAUAAAAGAGUUUAGAUUUGAUCAUUAGGACACUGAGAACUUAUUGUAGGAUUUGGGCAGGGAGUUGUGAUGGUUACUAUCCUAACAGAAAUUAGAUGAAACAAUCAAAGGGUUUAACUGAAGACAAUGCAAUGAGAGGAUUAUUUUCUUAAAUGUGGGCAGGAUUAGGAAACUAAUAAAGGGUGGUGAAGCAUCCAGGAGCUAGCAACAGAGAGAAGCUCUUAUCAUGGGGAGAGGGUCCAGGUGCGGAUGAGUGACAUGGCACGCCUGGACUUCUGAGGACAAUGGAGCACACAGCGAUCUGAACAUUUGACACAAAUUACAGAGGCUGGAAAGAAAGAAUUUCACAUCUUCCAAUCAAUACCCUUAGUCCAAAUAUUUGUCAGCAAACUCUAACUGUUUUCAUAAACUUUAACGCCUUCAGGGCUCAGUCAGGAACCUGUGAGGAAUUCAGGUGAAAACCAAUAAUGAGCAGGGGGGCGGUGGUGAAAAGGUGAGGCUGGCCUUACUGAAGGGCAUUCAGAUGGAAGCAUUACACAGUCCUGAAUUCAGGAGAGCUGUCUGGUUCCUGGAGCCAAACUGCAGCUUCAGAGAUGAUUUAUUCAGCAAGUUUCCCAGCUUGCAAAACUUUCCAAAGUCCCCUUAUUGCUGUACAAUCAUUGCUGUUUGGGGGCCAGUAAAGCCCAUCAGGGGCUUAUCUGGGGUUAACAAAGGCGUCGCUGACUUGCACCUCUUUACCCUAAGGGGCAUCAUUUAGGUGACUCUUCCAAGUUGGCAAAAAUAGAUGCCUUCCAUACCAUUGGUCUUAAAUUUAGAGAGUGCAGAGUCCUUAUUAAGACUAAAUUGUAAGGAAAGAAAACACUUGUGGGGUUACCGAGGGCAAGUAAUUACACAUAGUCUUUUUUUAUUCCUCUUCUGGUUUCUGUCUCCUAGUAAGAUACAUGUAAAAACAACAACAAAAAUGAAGACAGGCAUUGCUCUCUUAAGACACCUCGGCUGCCUCUCACUGGCAUUCAUCUUAUCCUGUGGUUUCCAGGUGUUUUUAGCAGCAGAACUCUUUUUCCAGACAAAAUCUGCCAUGGAGCUUUAAUGGAUAACACAGGCAAAAUCCAAGUGGCCAUCUCCCAGACACCUCCACAGACCCUGAUUCCAAUCAUCUCCAGCAGGACUGUCCUGAAUGUGCGUAUGUGAGUGAGGUUUAUUGCGGUAUGAUUUUCAUACAGUAAAAUUCAAUACAACAAAACUGUAAUAACCGUCUUGUAAUAACUCCACAAUCAAGACACAGAACAGCUCCAUCACCCGCUAAAUUCCUUUGCACCCCUUUCUAGCAAAUCCCCUCACCUCAUCCCCAUCCCUGAUCUGAUUUCUGUCUCUAUAGCUUUACCUUUCCCAGAAUAUCAUAUAAACGGAGUCAUGCAGUGUGUAAUCUCUCGUGCCUGGUUUCUUUCACUUAGCCUGAUGCUUUUGAGGUUCAUUUGUGCUUUUGCAUACAUGAGUAUUUUGUUUCUUUUUAUUACAGAGUAGUCUAUUGUUCUUGUGGUAUUUUUCAAUGUCGUCCUUCAGCUUCCAAUUUCUUUUCUGUAUAAACUGUAAAGCUGCCCAUUCAAAUAAUUUUCUUUUUUCCUUGAAAUGCUAAGAUUGAAGCCCUGAUAACACCAUUGCAGAGGCACAAGUGGGAAAGAGCGUGCGUGACCUGAGAGGUGUCCUUGCUGUGCCAUGCUGCUGCAUCAAAGCCGCUCACAGAGCUGGCUCCCGAGCCUCCAAGUGCCUCGUCUCUUCCCAGGACUAGAAGUCCUAGGAAUUGUCUAAUCAAAGGAAGGAAGUACUGCUUGGAUUCCCUUUUUAUUGUAUUUUCAAUUAUAAUUAAGAGACAAAUUUUUAAACCAGGAAAAGAAUAUGAGGGAAUGUGUUUGUUCAGAAAUAUACCUAGGCCGCUAAAAGUCUUCCAAGGGCAAAGAUGUGCCUAAAAUACAAUUUCCAUACAAAAACUUAAACCAAAAAUCUCAGCUUUGUCCACUGCACGUGUGACCACACAGUUGUAACAAUCUUUUGGAUUCUCAAUUCUGCCAUCUCAUAAGUAGCUUUUAUCCCCCUCUCAAAGGCCAUACCACUUGUGGAUGCUCUCAUGUCUAAAGAAUCUACCAGAGCAGUCAAGGGCACUUUCCUUCCUCCUCCCCAGCCCCACUCUUACAGUACUCCAGGAGACUGAGGCAUCUCAUUCUCUGCUCCCUUUAAAAUAUUUUUGUUCUGGGUUUUAUUUCUUUAAUUUGUCAUGUUUUAAAGAUGCUUUAAUAUUUAUGAACUACCCCCAGACACUUUCUUGAAAUAGAUGGAGUGUCAUUGAUAAAAUAAAUGUUAUGAGAAUUAAGCGCUGUAUUUCUUAUCAUUUUGAGUCCCCCUAAUAUUUCGCUUGUGCUGAAAAUAAUGGCUCCUCCCUGUCCUGUCUGCUUUGAGCUGAGCUAGAUCCAUGCAGUUUGUCAUUGCUCCUGAAAGUGAGUUUGACUUCUUGAGACAGGAAGGAGGGAGAUAGGAAAGUCAUCAUUUAAAAGAGAGUGUGUGACCCUAGAGGCAUUUAUUAGGUCAUUUAGGCCAACACAUUUUGAGUCAUUCUUCUCUGCAGACCUGUGCAGUACCCUGAGGCUACAAAAACAGUUGUUGCAGCUGACAGCAAGGUGGGGUAGACUGUAACACAAUGAAAUGCAAAGUGCCCGCAUGGAGGUAGAAGGUGUUGUGCAAAGAAAGGGGAGCCCACCUCCUCCUGGGCUAUGGAGAAGGAAACUUCAUGGACAAGAUGAUUCCUGUGAUGAGUAUUGAAGAGUGCAUGGGAAUGUUCUUGGUGGAAAAAAGGAGCUAGAGCCCCCUGUGCAGAGAAAGUGACUUGUGUAAAAAUGCAAUAGACUUGAGAAAGACAGGGACAAAGAGAAACAGAGAGUUUGGUGGAAAAGCAAACGCUGUCGUGAAGUAGAAACUGUGUGUGGAGAGUGAGGUGGUGGGGGGAUCCUCAGGGUGGGAUCACUGAGCCAUGGGUGUUCUGCUCCAGUUUGGACCGUAGUCUACGGCCAAUGAGGGUGAGCAAAGAACUUUGGGUGGAGGAGGGUCAGUGUGCAUUCUGAAAAAUCCCUCUGGCAUCUGUGGCAGGGGGAUGGAGGGUCCUGCCAGGGUUCAGGUGAAAGAGGAUGUGUCAGCAGCACAAUGGAGAAAAGCGAAUCCAUCCCAGAGACAUGUGGGAUGCAGAAUUGAUAGAGUCCGGGAGAAAGGUGAAAGGAAAGAGGGUGCAAAUUACUUCAUUUCACUCCUGCAAUAACACUGUGACAUAGGGGUCAUUAUGUCCAUUUUACAGUUGAGGAAACUGAGAUUAAAGAGGUGAAGAAACUUAUGUAAGUUUACACAGCUAAUGAAACAGAAACUGUAUCACAGUAUUGAGGUGCUGCCCUCAGGAAUUGCUCAAGCAUGUGAGAUCGUGAGAAAGAAACACAUUUAAUGAAUUAUGGAAAACUACCUUUAAAAACCCCAAAAACAAAGCUUUGGGAAAAGUUUCCUUGAGUCCUUGGAGAGCAGUGUUUGGGCAAUAUGCUACCAGGGACAUAAGUGGAAUGAGCAGAUCUUAAAAGGGCUUGCCCUGAAGAUCGAGGGUUUCUCCUCAAUCAUCCUCUUUCACUUUGUCCUUCUGCAACUGGGGAAGAGAGAUUUGUAUAAUAACACAUUUGCAUCUGAGAGCAUUUCAGCAAAGCAUGCUUCCAGCUGCCUUUUCUGACACAGGCCCAUCUCCCACCCUCAUUUUAUUGCUUUGGGAACUGUGACUACAAUAUCAUGGAAAAAGCUGUCACUCAGACCCCAAAUGAAGAAAUGUGGAGUCCUGUUUCUUCCAGCUGUAAAUUGCCUCAAAACCAGCAGACAGCAGCUGGCGUAACCAGACAAUGGAAACUAAGUUGAGGAAAUUAAGACAUCGAGUGACUCAAUGAAUAAGGAGAAGUACAAUUGUCACCCCAGUCAAGGAGAGGAAACUGAGGUUCAGGGAGAUUACAUUACUUCUCUAACAUGGCAUAGCUGGAAUUUGAACCCAGACCACUAUGUUCUAAUGCUUCUCCAUGUAAGUAAAAGCCCAAACCACUGUACAAUGAAUUCUCUUUGCCUUUUACUGCCAAACAGUGACAGAAUCACAACUAUUCCUGUGUAUAGAAAGGUUUUUUUUUAGAGACAUAACAGUUGUUAGUGGCUCUCAGUAAUGAUUGUCAAGAUACUUUGUUUUUGAAAUGCCACUUAAAAAACCCAAGAUAUUAUUUAGACCCAAACAAGAGACUAUGGAGUAAAUAUCUAGUUUUCUGUUUCAUUAAAAAAUUCUAUUAUCUGUAAUUCUUGAAGAUAACAUCACCUGCCCUUUGGACAAUUCCUAUCAAUUUUAAUUUGUCUUGUUACUCUCCACUCUCCCUACCCUCCCACUCACCUGAAGGCUGUUAUGGAAACUGCCGUUCAAUGGCCUGGCUCCCUGCCACCUCACCCCCAGCUGUAGUGAGCCUAUUGCCUAUGGGAUUGGAUCCAAAUUCAUCAUGUCAAAGCCCUCAUUAAUGUGGUUUCAUCUUACUUAUCCAUUCUUAUUUCCUUCAAUUUGUCCACAUCUACCCUGACUUUCAACCUAGAGCAACUCCUUUCUGCCCUUCGGAUAUGCCCUGCUUACUCCUUCUGAUUCCACACCUUUGAUCAUGCAGUCCCCACUCUGCGAAGUACUCAACUCCAACAUAUAAAGACCCUUCAAGACCCAUUUCUUCCUUGAAGCCAACUAUUUUAGUACACCCCCAUCUUGCUUUCCCCUAACUUUCUUCCUAUUUCAAAUAUAGCUAUUAACAGUUAGUUGAGCUAUCAAUUAUUCUUUAAGGCAUUGCUAAACAGGUGACAUUUGGGACCCCCAAAUAUAUUGUCACCUCCUUAAGGACAGGGCCCACCUUAAGUGUUCUCUUAUAUCCUCCAGAAUAUCCAGCACAAUGCGGAGGAAACAUUAGGUACUCAAUAUAUACUCACCGGGUAAUGAAGUUUGGAAAUAGUCAAACUUGCAUUUAAAAAUCUUAGGUUUUUAAUUUAUAGCACACUUAUUAAUUUUAUAAUUUUAUUUAAGUAAUACUCUAAAACAAUCUGAAUGUACAACAGUAAGUGUUAUUUAAGGAAUAAUACAUCCAUACAAUGGAAAUAAUAUGUAGCUAUUUUAAAAAGUGUUCUUUAGUUUAAUGAGAUCCCAUUUGUCAAUUGUGGCUUCUGUUGCCAUUGCUUUUUGUGUUUUAGACAUGAACUCCUUGCCCAUGCCUAUGUCCUGAAAGGUAACGCCUAGGUUUUCUUCUAGGGUUUUUAUGGUUUUAGGUCUAACGUUUAAGUCUUUAAUCCAUCU